rnacentral:rRNA from 1 species
UGGGGAAUUUUGGACAAUGGGCGAAAGCCUGAUCCAGCAAUGCCGCGUGUGUGAAGAAGGCCUUCGGGUUGUAAAGCACUUUUGUCCGGAAAGAAAUCCUUGGCUCUAAUACAGUCGGGGGAUGACGGUACCGGAAGAAUAAGCACCGGCUAACUACGUGCCAGCAGCCGCGGUAAUACGUAGGGUGCAAGCGUUAAUCGGAAUUACUGGGCGUAAAGCGUGCGCAGGCGGUUUGCUAAGACCGAUGUGAAAUCCCCGGGGCUCAACCUGGGAACUGCAUUGGUGACUGGCAGGCUAGAGUAUGGCAGAGGGGGGUAGAAUUCCACGUGUAGCAGUGAAAUGCGUAGAGAUGUGGAGGAAUACCGAUGGCGAAGGCAGCCCCCUGGGCCAAUACUGACGCUCAUGCACGAAAGCGUGGGGAGCAAACAGGAUUAGAUACCCUGGUAGUCCACGCCCUAAACGAUGUCAACUAGUUGUUGGGGAUUCAUUUCCUUAGUAACGUAGCUAACGCGUGAAGUUGACCGCCUGGGGAGUACGGUCGCAAGAUUAAAACUCAAAUGAAUUGACGGGGUCAUAGCUGUUUCCU